CGGCUGGCGGCGGCCAUCUUGGAAUUUGCUGCCCCAUGCGUUAAACUUUUAUGGAUUUUGAUUCAUGAAGGGAUGAAGAGGCCUUCAUGAAAAAAAAAUCAGCUUUCACUAUUUUUUUCCAACUCAUAGCAGUAUAUUAUGUAAUGCACCUGGGCUACUUGUUGAGUUCAAAAAGCUACGUUCAAUUUCUAAUGGGAUAGAUAUGGAUUAGAUAAUUUCAUAAAUAUGUCUAUAUUUGUCUUAUUUUAUGAUACAUCCAAAGGAUGGCAGUAUCGUCCAUCGUACUCCUGGAAACCAUCCUCUAAACCAGUGGUUCCCAAACUGGGGGCCAUAAUCUAAGGAUAUGUAUAUAUAAAACAGAAGGAGCUUAGUGGGUAGGCAGCCAAUGGGGCGAACUUACAGGUUUGUGCAAUGCCUUGCACGAGUAAUGCAUCCCUUUUUCGUCUGUACAGUAACUUUUUUAUCUGAUUACAUGUUCUUGACAUAAAACAAGACAUUGAGACGUUGUAAAUAAAUUAAUUAUGACAUAAUUGUAAGGUUUCCUAAGCUAUCUUUGAUCUUCUUAUGGUUUGUUUAAUGUUAAAAUAGCUUUUUCUUAGUAUGGAUAAUUUCUAUCUGUAGUAUGUCAAUAAAGGCAAACUACAAAUUCUUUAUCAACGGACAGGAAUGGAAUUAAAACAGGAGGUUAACUUUAGAAAAAAUAAGUGCAACUAAUAAUGAUAGUUACUUGCUACCUACCAUUUUUCCUCGUGUUGAUCGAACCUUAACGGCGAUGCUGUGACUUAACAGUUAUUGAUCACUAAUCUGGGGGGAUGAGAUAUUAACCUACAGCACACAAGAUUCCUUUAUGAUUCUUGCUUAUUUUCUUUCCAGUGCAAGUACUCAGUGUUCGUUGUCCACUCCUCCAAAGACCGUGAGAUGGUUCGAGAAAACCUUGUCAUACCACUUUUCCAACGCGGAUACAGUGUAGCCUGGCACGAGAAUGCGUUUGUCCCCGGGGCGUGGAUAUUGGAGAACAUAGAGAGAGCGGUGAGAAAUUCGGAAAGGAUGGUGGUCUUUGCAACUGACAAUCUUGCAGCAAGCAGGUGUUCUCUGCAAGAGAUUCGUCGCGGGCGUUGCGAGGAAAUGGACAGAGAAGAAUUCAGGGUUA